UACGAAGGGUGCAAGCGUUAUCCGGAUUCAUUGGGUUUAAAGGGUGCGUAGGCGGGAUGGUAAGUCAGUGGUGAAAUCCUGCAGCUUAACUGUAGAAUUGCCAUUGAUACUGCCAUUCUUGAGUACGCUUGAUGUGGGCGGAAUGUGCCGUGUAGCGGUGAAAUGCUUAGAUAUGGCACAGAACACCGAUAGCGAAGGCAGCUCACAAAAGCGAAACUGACGCUGAGGCACGAAAGCGUGGGGAUCGAACAGG
rnacentral:rRNA from 1 species